rnacentral:rRNA from 1 species
AUUGAACGCUGGCGGCAGGCCUAACACAUGCAAGUCGAGCGGAUGAAGGGUGCUUGCGCCUGGAUUCAGCGGCGGACGGGUGAGUAAUGCCUAGGAAUCUGCCUGGUAUUGGGGGAUGACGUCCUGAGACGGGCGCUAAUACCGCAUACUUCCUGAGGGAGCAAGUUGGGGAGCUUCGGACCUCACGCUCUCAGAUGAGCCUAGGUCGGAUUAGCUAGUUGGUGGGGUAAAGGCCUACCUAGGCGACGAUCCGUAACUGGUCUGAGAGGAUGAUCAGGCACACGGGAAGUGAGACACCGUCCAGACUACUACGAGAGGCAGCAGUCGGGAAUAGUGGACAAUGGGCGAAAGCAUGAUCCAGCCAGGCCGCGUGUGUGAAGAAGGUCUUCGGAGUGGAAAGAAGUUUAAGUGGGGAGGAAGGGCAGUAAGUUAAGACCUAGCUGUAGUGACGGUACCAACAGAAGAAGCACCGGCUAACUUCGUG